GAUGAACGCUAGCGGCAGGCUUAAUACAUGCAAGUCGUGGGGCAGCAUGAGUAGCAAUACUUGAUGGCGACCGGCAAACGGGUGAGGAACACGUACACAACCUUCCUUCAAGCGGGGAAUAGCCCAGAGAAAUUUGGAUUAAUACCCCAUAAUAUAUUUGAUAAGGCAUCUUAUAAAUAUUAAAGCUUCGGCACUUGAUGAUGGGUGUGCGGCUGAUUAGAUAGUGGCGGGUAACGGCCCACCAAGUCUACGAUCAGUAGCUGAUGUGAGAGCAUGAUCAGCCACACGGGCACUGAGACACGGGCCCGACUCCU
rnacentral:rRNA from 1 species